CUGGGGUAGCCAAAAAGUUCAUUUGGGUUUUUCUGUAAGAUGUUACAGAAAAAUCUGAGUGAACUUUUUGGCCAACUCUAU
ensembl:miRNA